rnacentral:rRNA from 1 species
UACGUAGGGGGCGAGCGUUGUCCGGAGUUACUGGGCGUAAAGCGCUUGUAGGCGGUCCACCAAGUUUGGGGUGACAGUUGCCGACUUAAUCGGCAAAGUGCCUCAAAGACUGGCGGACUUGAGGGCCACAGAGGGACAUGGAACUCCAGGUGUAGUGGUGAAAUGCGUAGAUAUCUGGAGGAACACCUGUGGCGAAAGCGGCGCACUGGACCAUAACUGACGCUGAUGCGCGAAAGCUAAGGGAGCAAACAGG